rnacentral:rRNA from 1 species
AUUGAACGCUGGCGGCAGGCCUAACACAUGCAAGUCGAGCGGUAACACAGGGAGCUUGCUCCUGGGUGACGAGCGGCGGACGGGUGAGUAAUGUCUGGGAAACUGCCUGAUGGAGGGGGAUAACUACUGGAAACGGUAGCUAAUACCGCAUAACGUCGCAAGACCAAAGAGGGGGACCUUCGGGCCUCUUGCCAUCAGAUGUGCCCAGAUGGGAUUAGCUAGUAGGUGGGGUAACGGCUCACCUAGGCGACGAUCCCUAGCUGGUCUGAGAGGAUGACCAGCCACACUGGAACUGAGACACGGUCCAGACUCCUACGGGAGGCAGCAGUGGGGAAUAUUGCACAAUGGGCGCAAGCCUGAUGCAGCCAUGCCGCGUGUAUGAAGAAGGCCUUCGGGUUGUAAAGUACUUUCAGCGGGGAGGAAGGUGUUGAGGUUAAUAACCUCAGCAAUUGACGUUACCCGCAGAAGAAGCACCGGCUAACUCCGUGCCAGCAGCCGCGGUAAUAC